AGCUGUGAUGAGCAUUGCUUCCUUCUGACACCUCUUGUAUGAGAAGUGUGCCUCUCUCGAUCGAGAAGCCCUUCGUUGAGCAGAGUACAGCAACCCUCUGAGCA